rnacentral:rRNA from 1 species
UACGAAGGGGGCUAGCGUUGCUCGGAAUCACUGGGCGUAAAGGGUGCGUAGGCGGGUCUUUAAGUCAGGGGUGAAAUCCUGGAGCUCAACUCCAGAACUGCCUUUGAUACUGAAGAUCUUGAGUUCGGGAGAGGAGAGUGGAACUGCGAGUGUAGAGGUGAAAUUCGUAGAUAUUCGCAAGAACACCAGUGGCGAAGGCGGCUCACUGGCCCGAUACUGACGCUGAUGCACGAAAGCGUGGGGAGCAAACAGG